rnacentral:rRNA from 1 species
CUUCGGAUUAAAGAAUUUAUUCGCUAUGGGAACGGCCUGCGUACGAUUAGGUAGUUGGUGAGGUAAUGGCUCACCAAGCCGACGAUCGUUAGCUGGUCUGAGAGGAUGAUCAGCCAGACUGGAACUGAGACACGGCCCAGACUCCUACGGGAGGCAGCAGUGGGGAAUUUUGGACAAUGGGCGAAAGCCUGAUCCAGCCAUUCCGCGUGCAGGAUGAAGGCCCUCGGGUUGUAAACUGCUUUUGUACGGAACGAAAAAGCUCCGGCUAAUACCUGGAGUCCAUGACGGUAC